GGACGGCCUGUGCUAUACAUGCACGUCGAGCGGACCGACGGGAGCUUGCUCCCUUAGGUCAGCGGCGGACGGGUGAGUAACACGUGGGUAACCUGCCUGUAAGACUGGGAUAACUCCGGGAAACCGGGGCUAAUACCGGAUGCUUGAUUGAACCGCAUGGUUCAAUCAUAAAAGGUGGCUUUCAGCUACCACUUGCAGAUGGACCCGCGGCGCAUUAGCUAGUUGGUGAGGUAACGGCUCACCAAGGCGACGAUGCGUAGCCGACCUGAGAGGGUGAUCGGCCACACUGGGACUGAGACACGGCCCAGACUCCUACGGGAGGCAGCAGUAGGGAAUCUUCCGCAAUGGACGAAAGUCUGACGGAGCAACGCCGCGUGAGUGAUGAAGGUUUUCGGAUCGUAAAACUCUGUUGUUAGGGAAGAACAAGUACCGUUCGAAUAGGGCGGUACCUUGACGGUACCUAACCAGAAAGCCACGGCUAACUACGUGCCAGCAGCCGCGGUAAUACGUAGGUGGCAAGCGUUGUCCGGAAUUAUUGGGCGUAAAGCGCGCGCAGGCGGUUUCUUAAGUCUGAUGUGAAAGCCCCCGGCUCAACCGGGGAGGGUCAUUGGAAACUGGGGAACUUGAGUGCAGAAGAGGAGAGUGGAAUUCCACGUGUAGCGGUGAAAUGCGUAGAGAUGUGGAGGAACACCAGUGGCGAAGGCGACUCUCUGGUCUGUAACUGACGCUGAGGCGCGAAAGCGUGGGGAGCGAACAGGAUUAGAUACCCUGGUAGUCCACGCCGUAAACGAUGAGUGCUAAGUGUUAGAGGGUUUCCGCCCUUUAGUGCUGCAGCAAACGCAUUAAGCACUCCGCCUGGGGGAGUACGGUCGCAAGACUGAAACUCAAAGGAAUUGACGGGGGCCCGCACAAGCGGUGGAGCAUGUGGUUUAAUUCGAAGCAACGCGAAGAACCUUACCAGGUCUUGACAUCCUCUGACAACCCUAGAGAUAGGGCUUGCGCCUUCGGGGGCAGAGUGACAGUGGUGCAUGAUUGUCGUCAGCUCGUGUCGUGAGGAUGUUGGGUUAAGUCCCGCAACGAGCGCUAC
rnacentral:rRNA from 1 species